AUCAAAACAAAAAUAAUGAAGUUCUCUUUGCAUAAGAAAUUUCUUUUUAUCUUAUUUGGUGACCUAAAUUGGAUAUUCUUCAAAGGUGAAAUGUAAAAAAAAAAAAAAUCAGUGAUUUACCAGAAAUCAAAUAUGAAAGUUGGUGGUGGAGAUUCAGGGAAGCAACAUCAAAGGUGAAGGCAAUUUGGGUGGAUGGUGGAGAUUUAGGGAACGGCACCAAA